GACGAACGCUGGCGGCGUGCUUAACACAUGCAAGUCGAACGGAAAGGUCCUGCUUAUGUGGGGUGCUCGAGUGGCGAACGGGUGAGAAACACGUGUGUAACCUGUCCUCGACUUUGGGAUAACUUAAGGCAACAGGGGCCAAUACCGGAUAGGAGUUACCGCUGCAUGGUGGGGGCUGGAAGGUUUAGGCGGUUGGGGAGGGACUGGCGGCGCAUCAGGUUGUUGGUGGGGUGGUGGGAUACCAUGGCUUGGACGGGUGGCCGGGCUGCGAGGGGGACCGGCCCAGUUGGGACGGGGAUGCGGCCCGGACUCCUACGGGAGGCAGCAGUGGAGAAUAUUAUACUAUGGGCGGAAGCCUGAUGCAGCAACGCCGCGCGCGGGAUGACGGCCUUCGGGUUGUAAACCGCUUCCGCCUGUGACGAAGCGUGAGUGACGGUAAUGGGUAAAGAAGCACCGGCUAACUACGUG
rnacentral:rRNA from 1 species